AAGGAAGGCAGCAGGCGCGCAAAUUACCCACUUCUGGCACGGGGAGGUAGUGACGAAAAAUAACAAUUCGGGACUCCNACGAGGCCCCGUAAUUGGAAUGAGUACACUUUAAAUCCUUUUAACGAGUAUUAUNNNAGGGCAAGUCUGGUGCCAGCACGCCGCGUAAUUCCAGCUCCAAUAGCGUAUAUUAAAGUUGNNGCAGUUAAAAAGCUCGUAGUUGGAUCUCGGGUCCAGGCUUGCGGUCCGCUCCUUGGCGUCACUGCUUGUUCCUGACCUACCUGACCGGUUUGCCCUUGGUGCUCUUGAUUGAGUGUCUCCGGGUGGCCGAAACUUUUACUUUGAAAAAAUUAGAGUGCUCAAAGCAGGCGAUUAGCCUGCAUCAAUGGUGCCUGGAAUAAUGGAAGAGGACCUCGGUUCUAUUUUGNNNNNNNCCGGAACCGGAGGUAAUGAUUAAGAGGGACUGACGGGGGCAUUGGUAUGGCNNNNNNAGAGGUGAAA
rnacentral:rRNA from 1 species